rnacentral:rRNA from 1 species
AGGUUAGCAGAACCGGCUGGAAAGCCGGGCCGCAGAGGGUGAGAGCCCCGUAAGCGAAAACCGGAACCCGGGCGAGGCGGCACCUGAGUAAGCCGGGACACGAGAAAUCCUGGCCGAAUCCGCGGGGACCAUCCCGCAAGGCUAAACACUACCGAGAGACCGAUAGCGAACCAGUACCGUGAGGGAAAGGUGAAAAGAACCCCGAACAGGGGAGUGAAACAGACCCUGAAAUCAUGCGCCCACAAGCGGUCGGAGCCACUCAGUGUGGUGACGGCGUGCCUUUUGCAUAAUGAUCCCACGAGUUGCCAGCGCCGGCGAGGCUAAGGUCAGGUAUGACCGGAGCCGAAGCGAAAGCGAGUCCGAACAGGGCGUUCCCAGUCGGCGCGGGCAGACGCGAAACCAGGUGAUCUACCCUUGGGCAGGUUGAAGGUGGGGUAACACCCACUGGAGGACCGAACCGGUAAGCGUUGAAAAGCUUUCGGAUGACCUGAGGGUAGGAGUGAAAGGCCAAUCAAACCUGGAGAUAGCUCGUACUCCCCGAAAUGCAUUUAGGUGCAGCCUCGGGGUCAAUGCCGCGGAGGUAGAGCGACUGAUAAGAUGCGAGGGCUUCACCGCCUAUCAAGUCUUGACAAACUCCGAAUGCCGCGGCACGGUCCCCGGGAGUGAGGGCGUGGGUGCUAAGGUCCACGUCCGAGAGAGGAACAACUCAGACCACCGGCCAAGGCCCCCAAAUCCGGGCCAAGUUGAAGCCAAUAACGAGGUGGGACCGCAUAGACAGCUGGGAUGUUGGCUUGGAAGCAGCCAUUCAUUUGAAGAGUGCGUAACAGCUCACCAGUCGAGUGGUCCCGCAUGGAUAAUACUCGGGCAUAAGCCCGGUGCCGAAGCCGUGGGAUGUCGCUAAAGCGACAUCGGUAGGGGAGCAUUCCGGUAGCCGCAGAAGGUGUCCCGCGAGGGGCGCUGGAGGUCCCGGAAAAGCAAAUGUGGGAAUAAGUAACGACAAGGAGGGCGAGAAACCCUCCCGCCGGAAGACCAAGGGUUCCUGAUCAACGCUAAUCGGAUCAGGGUGAGUCGGGACCUAAGGGGGAGCCGCGAGGCGCACCCGAUGGACAAACGGUCAAUAUUCCGUUACCCGGCCCGCGAGCGACGUGGAGACGGAGGAGUGACACUUCCGCGCGCUGACGGAAUAGCGCGUUGAACCGUGUAGUUAUACGUGGGGCAGGCAAAUCCACCCCGCGUGGCGAGACGGGACAGUACAGGGCGUCCCCGGACAACCUGACAGCGAAGGUAACCAUACUCCCAAGAAAAUCCGCUAAGCAUAUCGCGAGCCGGCCCGUACCGCAAACCGACACAGGUGGUCAAGUAGAAAAUACCAAGGCGCUCGAGAGAUUCACGGUUAAGGAACUAGGCAAAUUGACCCCGUAACCUCGGGAUAAGGGGUCCCCUCCUCCGGGAGGGGCGCAGAGAAUAGGUCCAGGCAACUGUUUAACAAAAACACAGGGCUGUGCGAAGUUGCAAGAUGAAGCAUACAGCCUGACACCUGCCCGGUGCCGGAAGGUUAAGAGGAGACGUCAUCGCGAGAGAAGCGUUGAAUUGAAGCCCCGGUAAACGGCGGCCGUAACUAUAACGGUCCUAAGGUAGCGAAAUUCCUUGUCGGGUAAGUUCCGACCUGCACGAAUGGUGUAAUGAUCUGGACACUGUCUCAACCGUGAGCUCGGUGAAAUUGUAGUAUCGGUGAAGAUGCCGAUUACCCGCAACGGGACGAAAAGACCCCGUGAACCUUUACUGCAGCUUCGCAUUGUGACCGGGUGGCAGGUGUGUAGGAUAGUCAGGAGACAAUGAAACGGUGACGCCAGUCAUCGCGGAGUCGACGUUGAAAUACUGACCUCCUUCCAUCUGGUCUCUAACGCGCUUGAGCGCGGACAUUGCGUGGCAGGUAGUUUGACUGGGGUGGUCGCCUCCAAAAGAGUAACGGAGGCUUCUAAAGGUGCGCUCAGGCCGAUUGGUAACCGGCCGUGGAGUGUAAUGGCACAAGCGCGCUUGACUGGGAGACAGACACGUCGAUCAGGUAGGAAACUAGAGCAUAGUGAUCCGGUGGUUCCGCAUGGAAGGGCCAUCGCUCAAAGGAUAAAAGGUACUCCGGGGAUAACAGGCUGAUCCCUCCCAAGA